GACGAACGCUGGCGGCGUGCUUAACACAUGCAAGUCGAACGAUGAAGCCCAGCUUGCUGGGUGGAUUAGUGGCGAACGGGUGAGUAACACGUGAGUAACCUGCCCUUGACUCUGGGAUAAGCGCUGGAAACGGCGUCUAAUACCGGAUACGACAACCGACGGCAUCGUCUGGUUGUGGAAAGAAUUUCGGUCAAGGAUGGACUCGCGGCCUAUCAGCUUGUUGGUGAGGUAAUGGCUCACCAAGGCGACGACGGGUAGCCGGCCUGAGAGGGUGACCGGCCACACUGGGACUGAGACACGGCCCAGACUCCUACGGGAGCCAGCAGUGGGGAAUAUUGCACAAUGGGCGCAAGCCUGAUGCAGCAACGCCGCGUGAGGGAUGACGGCCUUCGGGUUGUAAACCUCUUUUAGUAGGGAAGAAGCGCAAGUGACGGUACCUGCAGAAAAAGCACCGGCUAACUACGUG
rnacentral:rRNA from 1 species